GACGGGGGGGGCAAGUGUUCUUCGGAAUGACUGGGCGUAAAGGGCACGUAGGCGGUGAAUCGAGUUGAAAGUGAAAGUCGCCAAAAAGUGGCGGAAUGCUCUCGAAACCAAUUCACUUGAGUGAGACAGAGGAGAGUGGAAUUUCGUGUGUAGGGGUGAAAUCCGUAAAUAUACGAAGGAACGCCAAAAGCAAAGGCAGCUCUCUGGGUCCCUACCGACGCUGGGGUGCGAAAGCAUGGGGAGCGAACAGG
rnacentral:rRNA from 1 species